rnacentral:rRNA from 1 species
CGUACACUCCUGCGGGAGGCAGCAGUGGGGAAUAUUGGACAAUGGGCGCAAGCCUGAUCCAGCCAUGCCGCGUGAGUGAUGAAGGCCCUAGGGUUGUAAGCUCUUUCACCGGUGAAGAUAAUGACGGUAACCGGAGAAGAAGCCCCGGCUAACUUCGUGCCAGCAGCCGCGGUAAUACGAAGGGGGCUAGCGUUGUUCGGAUUUACUGGGCGUAAAGCGCACGUAGGCGGACUAUUAAGUCAGGGGUGAAAUCCCGGGGCUCAACCCCGGAACUGCCUUUGAUACUGGUAGUCUUGAGUUCGAGAGAGGUGAGUGGAAUUCCGAGUGUAGAGGUGAAAUUCGUAGAUAUUCGGAGGAACACCAGUGGCGAAGGCGGCUCACUGGCUCGAUACUGACGCUGAGGUGCGAAAGCGUGGGGAGCAAACAGGAUUAGAUACCCGAGUAGUCCCAUG